UGCGCAGGCGGUUUUGUAAGACAGUGGUGAAAUCCCCGGGCUCAACCUGGGAACUGCCAUUGUGACUGCAAGGCUGGAGUGCGGCAGAGGGGGAUGGAAUUCCGCGUGUAGCAGUGAAAUGCGUAGAUAUGCGGAGGAACACCGAUGGCGAAGGCAAUCCCCUGGGCCUGCACUGACGCUCAUGCACGAAAGGCUGGGAGCAAACA
rnacentral:rRNA from 1 species